CCUACGGGAGGCAGCAGUGGGGAAUAUUGCACAAUGGGGGAAACCCUGAUGCAGCGACGCCGCGUGAGUGAAGAAGUAAUUCGUUAUGUAAAGCUCUAUCAGCAGGGAAGAAAAUGACGGUACCUGAGUAAGAAGCCCCGGCUAACUACGUGACAGCAGCCGGGGUACUACGUAGGGGGCAAGCGUAAUCCGGAUUUAGUGGGGGUUAAGGGAGCGUAGUCGGCAGUGCAAGUCUGGAGGGAAAGGCGGGGGCUCAACCCCCGGACUGCUCUUGAAACUGUACGGCUGGAGUGCAGGAGAGGUAAGUGGAAUUCGUAGUGUAGCGGUGAAAUGCGUAGAUAUUAGGAGGAACACCGGUGGCGAAGGCGGCUUACUGGACUGUAACUGACGUUGAGGCUCGAAAGCGUGGGGAGCAAACAGGAUUAGAUACCCGUGUAGUC
rnacentral:rRNA from 1 species